AUUGAACGCUGGCGGCAGGCCUAACACAUGCAAGUCGAGCGAGCGUCGGACGGGUGAGUAAUGUAUGGGGACUGCCCGAUAGAGGGGGAUAACUACUGGAAACGGUAGCUAAUACCGCAUACUAUCGGAUAACCCAUAUGGGAUUAGCUAGUAGGUUAGGUAAUGGCUCACCUAGGCGACGAUCCCUAUCUGGUCUGAGAGGAUGAUCAGCCAUACUGGGACUGAGACACGGCACAGACUCCUACGGAGGCAGCAGUGGGGAAUAUUGCACAAGGGGCGAAAGACUGAUGCAGCCAUGCCGCGGGUAUGAAGAAGGCCCUAGGGGUGUAAAGUACUUUCAGUCGGGAGGCGGGAACGAAAGAAGAAGCACCGGCUAACUCCGUGCCAGCAGCCGCGGUAAGAG
rnacentral:rRNA from 1 species